GUAUGAUAUUUCAUACUGCAAUCUGUAACAGAAAGAUGCUUAAAAUUACACUGAAGUAGAUCUUGCUGUGGGCUGCAUUCCACGGAGAAGUCCCAACACCAUGGAGACAACUAACAGAACUGUAGUUUCAAUGGAGUCAGAAUUUUAUACUGCCCUUUUUAAGGCAGGUUUUUCAGGAGUGCUCAGCACUGUCUUAACUCUUCCACCAAAUCUGCUAAAAGCCUUUUCAUAGGCCUUGCUAGGAGCAAAACUGAGCCAAGAUAGUCCAGACUUUGCUUAAAAUAAACACAAGUCUUGCCGUCCAUCAUAAGUAUAAUUAUUCUAAUGACUGAGCUCUUCAGGUUCCACAGAAUUUCCUUACAGAGCAGUGUUGUUUGUCCAUUAUUGGCCUAAUCCUGCACUCCUUACUCAAAGUUAAGGUUGAGUGUUAAACAACCUGCAUAUAAACUGUCAAAAUAGCUGUUGCAUAAAUAACCUUUUCUAUGCACAGCCACUGUUUUCACUAUGUCUCUCUAUAACCUCUGCCCUCUCUGGGAGUUUGGGAGGGCACCCACUGCUCUCUAGGGCAGUCUGUGCCCCUUCCAGCUCUGUCAGUAGUGGGCUGAGGAGGUGUUCCUGCACCUUUCUCAUGCUGGUAAUCACCUUCAUCCAUUUGAAUUCAAAGGUCCUGAAAGCAGGUGAAAGAGAAAAUAAUGAAUGGAGAAGAAGCUGAAAGAUGGAGGUUUCUCUGCGAGGCUUGUCCUUAAGGUGCUGCCACGUUAAAACAAAAAACAAGACAGUGUUUUAUCCUGGUGUUGUUUGUGCCUGUCUGCAGUCAUUGCAGCCACAUUCUCUGUGAGAGCCUCUUCUGACUGAGACAGAUGUAACAGAGGUCAAGUUAGGCUGGUGUGUGUAUAUGCACACACCCGAGUGGAGAGAGUCAUGUUACUCUUUCAGUUACUGAAAUUGUAUUUUUGGCAGCAACUGUACUACUGUUCCAGCAGAGUCUAGCUUUGUCACCCUUUUUCUGGGUUUUCCUUUUGAAAGAGGUUCCAAAGGAAGCUCUGUGCUUUUACUCUUGGUUAGGUCCUAGUCAGGUCUGUGGCUAUACUAAUGCAAACAGCACUUUUUUGUUCUGAUCACGUACGUGUGAUUCUCUUGGAUUCUAAUUUGAGAAAAGCUGAUAGUAAUGCUUAUCUUCUACAAGGUUUGUUGGAACUACUGCAGGUUGAAAUUGCUGUCAGUGGGAGAGUUGGGACUAAUGAAUAAAUUCUCAAUUUGUUCAAGAUGUCUGAACAAGACUACAUAAUUUAUUACUUUAUUGCUUAAGGUAUAAGAUAGAACUGGCAUGCUUUUUUUAUUUGGGGUCCUGCUUGCACCUCCUGCAGUUCAGCUUGACGUUCUGUUGCAGUUGAUUCAGCAUCUUGACAAGCUCAUUAUUGUUACUGUUGGCAUGAUGCCCUCAGAUUUCCACUUUGUUUGGGUCUGUUUCCAUCUUCUUGAGCUUGGAAGUUCCAGCAUGCCCUGUUGAUUCAGUUUCCAGACUCACCUGUGGAGACUCAAUUGCAUGCUGGUGAUUUUCCUGCAGAGUGCAGUGAAGCAUAUGGCACAGCAUUCUGUUAUGUUGAAUCUAAUCCAGCCUUUGUAUCAAAUUAUUGUCCACGAAGUAAUAAAAACAGUCAAUUUCUAAGCCUGUUUAAAACUGAGGUACUAAGAUUCUGCACCAAACUAGAAUACCUUCUUUUAAAACAUAGGGCUAGGAGAGCUUUCAAGAAGUCAUCUUAAAAAUCUAUCUAAAAUUGGGGUUAUCUGUCAAACCAGUUCCUGGAUGUGUGACCAGACUGUACCUAACUUCCAGUAAUGGAGACUCCAUGAUCUCCAGACCAUCUUGUCCCAGGAGUAAUUCCCCCUACAACUAGAAAACUUACCUAGUCUCUAACUUAAACCUUGCUGCAGCUUUGGUGUAUAACUUAAUGUCAUAUUGCUACACCUGAUUAUUUCAGAUUCUUCCUUCUGAUCUCUAUCAAUUUCAGCUUUAACCUGAAACAGUUCAAACUGAAUGCAGAUCUGUAAGGAGAGGUGCAGCAGAAGAACGAACAAAGGUGCUCUGUGGGAUUAUACGUACAGAAUCGAUUCAGUGGAAUGUGGGCAAGCAGGCAUCAGGCCUGCAUGCAGCUCUCACAUCUGUGGCACUGGUACUUCUAGGGAAGACUGCUUCCUCCAGUGCCACCUGCAGUUCAUCCUAAUCAGUCUUCAAUCUUCUUAUCUUCUGCAGCUCGUGAAUGCUGUGCCCUCCUUUCCUCAGCUGAUUGAUUAGAUCCUUAAUUUCCUCCAGGGAAGAGAACAGAUAUUUCAUGUGAUAGGUUUAUUUCAGGACUAUGAACUUUACCAAGUGCGCCAGACAGAUUCUUUGAAUAGAAAUGGCAUGAAAUGGCUCCAGUCACUUCACAUUAGCUGCCCUUUUUCUCAUUGCUAACUAUUAUCUUGGAUUUCUGAAUGAGCCCUGCUAGCUCUAUGUAAUCAUGGAGGCAGAAGAGUGAAGCCCAUUAAAUCACGAGAAAUUUUUUCCAGUUUUUAGCCUAGUCUUCCCCUCUCCCAUUUUCAGAUGGCUGCUCAUACAAAAUGCAAAUAGGAUUCCACGUUGUCUCUAUGCAACAGAAUGAGGCACUUUGCCAGGUGAUGUAGGCCAGAGUAAUAGGUUGGGAGAGACAGCCCAGGAAGCGCUGGAUCUCUGCCAGGGACUCCAUCACCAUUUUCUCUUGGCUGCAAAGGCAAGCAGAUUCUAAAUCUGCAUCUUCUAAAUAUUGACAGUGUCAUCUUUCAGCCUCCUGGAGGAGAUCAAUUUUUACAAUUUACAGAAUAUUUUCAUUUAUUAAAAAGAAAAAAAGCCAAGGCAGCUUGUCUCCCUGUAUAGCAAGUAAGGGAGGCUCUGGGAGUUCAAGUGACAUCCUUGGAACUGAUUCCUGGAGAUGCCUCAUUCAGUCAUGCAUAUUGCUUCUGGGAAGUGUUCACUUCCACCUGCAGCUCUUCAUAUUUUCUUGUUGCCAUUCUGCCAGCAUCUUCUCAAAGGCUCUCUCCUUCUUCCAGAGCAGCACAAGCAGCAUUGGCCUGGAAAGAUAAAGCCAAGCAUUCAAUGGACACAAGUUUUCUUUACACUUCACUUCUCUGUGUGUCCUGCCAGCUAGUCACAGUUAAAUUGGCACCCACUGUAAUGACUGGCAGAGUUUCUCUUGGUUGCUCUGAAUGGGUGAUUAAAAUGUUUACAAGGCUUUCUUUCCUCACCAUUAGGAAUUUAACAAGAUCCCCCAGUUCCCAUCAGUGUGAUAGUCUUCCUUGCUCCUGCCGUUAUAAUGAUGCUGCUGUGGAGCAAAUGUUUUCCACUUCAGAUAUUCGUUGUGCAGAUGUGCUGUUAGUAAUUGCCUGGGUUGAUUAGUGUGACUUUCUGCUUCAAAGAAGAUUCAGUUAGAAACAAGAUGUUAUUUAAGACUAUUCUAGACUGUGUUUAAUGGCUUGUCAUGAAGGGAAAGAAUGAAGGAACGUUUUUUCUUUCCUGGGAGCUUUUAAUCACAAAUAUUCGACGUAUUUUUAUGAUCAGUACAUGCAGUCAGAUACCAUGGUGAUAAGCACGCCACAAACUGAAGAGUACAGAACUGCUUCAUUAGAGGCAGUGAUGGUGAAACAACCCACUGGUACUGCAACACUGAAGAGUUCAAAGCAGGAUCUCAUUAUCCUUAAAAAGAAGAUGAAUACCUUGCCUUGUAUUUGAGGGGGGCUUUUACUUCAGCUGCUAUUAUUUCUGGAAGACAGCUAACAAGUUUAUGAGCAGCAUGCUGUGUGCUCCUAAGAAUUAGCUGUGGCUCAUCUUUGCCUUUCUUCUCUUGGUCAUACACAUUACAGUGACAUUUGAUAGAGAGAUCUUAAAGUAUUAAGAAAUAAGGGAUCAGCGCAAAGCUGAUUCCCAGGGGAGGGGUUCCACCAUCAGGUCUUGCUGGUCAGGCUUGUGUUAGAUGUAUUCUUGAAUGGCUGAAUUUCUUGCCUUUUCCAGGUAAGGAGUGGGGUUCUUCAUUUUUUUUGUCUGAAGCCUCUGCUUAGUGCUGCCUGGGCAGACUUGGACUGAUUCAGCUGUCUGCUUUGCUUCUUGGACCCUCACAGCCAACUUUGUCCCAAAGGAGUGGGGGCAGAAAUAACUCAGUAGUUCAUGGAGUGAGGAGUUCUGGGGGUCAGCAGCUGUCAUCUCCUUGAGCACUACUGCUAUUUUCACCAGUAAUCCUGAAAGCAAUCUCAGAAAAGUGACUGUAAAACCACGACUAGGAUGUGGCUGGAUCUUCCUCUCCCCAGGUACAAACAUCAUAGUGGACUGCAGCUCAGUUCCUCAUUGCUGGGUUGUCCUUCUGUUUAGGUAUCCCCAGGACAGUAAUAAUGUCAAAGAGCAAGGUAGCUUCACUCCCUGUGACAAUCUAUGGGACUAAGGCAGAGAUAGAAUAGCUUAUUUUGUCUCGGCUUGUCUCAGGCACGUGGUUAAAACCCUCCAGGUGCCUUAGCUUUUCUGUUCUGUGAAAGCAUCUUUGUUAGCUCUGCUAGAGAGAGACUGUUAAAAGAUGGCCUUAACUUCUUGCCUCCGUUACCAGAUCUCAAGGAGCACAUUCCAGGGGCUUCAAUCUGAUUUGGGUGCAUUCUUUUUUCUCAGGAAAUGCUAGUGGCUUUUGUAGGGCUGCUGGAAGAGCAGAGGUCCUGUUGGAGUAAGGGAAAGCUGCCCAACUUCAAGCCUUUACUGGAAAGGUACAGCAUUGUUCUUCUGUUGCCAGCAUACAAGGGUUAGAUCUCAGUAGUCCCUAUUUAUUAUUGCAGAUGUUCUUUUCUUCUUGGCGGCAGUGCUCUCCUUCCUUUGUCUUAUAAAAAUGAGUCCUAACAGGUCACAUCUAUAAGCUGUGACUCAGCAGCCAAACUAAAUAACAAGCUACUCUAAGUCCUGCCCCAUUCUCCCUGAAAGCUGUGUGCUCACCUUGUUUCUUCCAGCUUUCUGGUUCUUCCAGGGCUCUUAGUGUCAUGCUUUUAGACUUUGAUUUCAGUACUGAGUUCAGAGACCAGAUGCUGAACUUCUAUUUUGCACUCUUCCUCCUCUUCCAACUGCUCUUUCAUCGCCUCCAGAUAAUUCCUGGUAUUAGCCAGGCUUACCACAGCAGCAGUGCAGGACUUGAGAUAGAUGAAUAGUAAUGGCUGCAAUGUUCUCCUGUUGGAAGUAUGAAGGCACUGACCUCACUCCCCCAGGCUGCAGUGCUCCACUUGAGCAACUUAGUUCUGGACUAGCUAGAAACAUUUCAAAGUAUCUUCCUGGUCAGGAGCCAAGUGUUUGCUCUCCUUACCUGUUUUGUUGUUGGUUUUUUUUUUGCUUUACUGCAGUGAAUUGAAUUGAGCUCAUAUAACUGAAAGCAGAACUUGGCUUGUCAUCAUUGCUGUUUUCUCUGAAACUGUUUCAAAAGAAUUACAACAGUAAACCCAUUUUGUGAUUGCUCUGAAUGCAGAGAAUUCUUGCCAGGCUUUUGAUAUGCAGGUGCAGUACUAGAAUUAUUCUUUGGAGAUAAGAAAAAUUUCCAGGACAGACAUGUCAGACGGAGACAUGGAAUGCUGAUACAUUUUGAGCCAGACAUAUGUGACCUAUGCAAAUGAACUGCAGUGCAAUCCACUGAACAGACAGCGGACUGAGAAUGAAGAGGUAUGUGUUCUGCUCUUUGCUUCUGGCUCACAGGAGAUCAUCUUAUGUUCAUAUCCCCCAUAUGAAUCGUGAUGCUCACGCCCUGUGCACCCUUACUGAGAUUAGCUGGUAACAAGCCCAGAGAUCUGUGUGAGGAGAACUUUCCCUUGUGAGAGCUGAAACAAUAAAAGGCUUGUUAUUCUGAAGUGGACAGCGAGCAAAGAGCAGGCAGAGCAUAUCCAACUCUAGCUGCAAGCUGUGAAGGUGGUUGGUGGUCCCCAGUACUCUUAACUUUUCAUCCUCUUGGGGUCAUACAUCUGAGAGAGCUGCAUGUGGACAACCUAAUUAAUCGACAUCAGACCUUGUGCUCUGUGCUUGGCUGGCUGUGUUGAGCUGCAGGAGAAAAAGCACACAGAGAGGCAGGAGGGGAACUCUUUCCACCUGAUUGAAGAAAGAAAAGAGAAGGCUAGAAGGAUUGGGCAGUUUGGGUAAAGGAGGCAGAGUGGCCAGAGUUCUGUGGAACACAGGGGAGGAGGAGGUUCAGGGGGGUGGUAGUGUUGCACACAGCUACCAGGGAAUUUACCUUGGAGCCUGAUGGCAUUACUUUCAGCUUGGCUUUUCUCCACCUCAGCCAGCUGGGCAUUGGCUUCAGACAGCUUAUCUUUCAGCUUGUGAGCAUGAGCAUCUGAGUCCAACGGUAAGAAUGGUUAGUCAUAUGAUGCUGAGUAAGGCUUGAAGAGCUACAGUAUCCUCCCUCCCCUGCAAGCUCAGUUGAUUUCUGUUGGUUGUAAUUAUAAUGAGAUGACUGUAGUAGGCAGGGAGAGUGCAAAUUGGUCUGAUCUUUAGAGAGGGGAGAUGCCUGUUUUGUUAGCCAUGCUGGGCAGUGUUUGGCAUCAGCCUGCAAAUGGCUGCUUUGUGGUAUCAGCUGGCUCACAUCUGUCUUGUGCUGUGGAUCUUGGAGGUGCUUUAUAAGAAAGGCUUCUGCAAGGCUUUUAUUUAGCCUUCAUAGGCUCUUUAUCUGAGUCAUAUCCAUCUUUGGUGCCACUCUGUUACAGGGUUGGUAUCUUUCAGAACAGUUAACCAUCUUCAUGCCUCAUUGCUAAAGCUCACAGUUGUUCUCUGGACUGCAGAUCAUGUAUUUCCCUUGCAAAGCAGCAGAAAAUAGGCUGAACAGUCUUGCUUUAUCUUUUUACUGUGUAUGACUGAAUGGGCUGCUUUCUAACAAACCUCUGAUCAACUUCUGCUCAACCCCAGAGGAAUGGCAAAGCUCAGCCAAUUUCAUGGAGCCUCGUGGGUUUUGUGUUUUUUGUUGUUUGUUUGGGAAGGUUGGAUCAGGUCUGCCCUGCUUAGGAGCCUAGAGAAGCUGCUGAAGAAACUUCUUUGGAGAGUCCCAGUGAUAUCUCAUUCUCUGAAGAAAAAAACAAGGUGUUCAGAUGUAGCUGAAGGUAUCUGACCUGGGUGCAGCUGUUGUAACACCAGUGUCUUUCCAGGGAGUAGAGAUCCAUAAGAUCACAAGGCAGAUCCCUUCCUUGGUUCUCCACCUAGUGGGAAAGAGGGAAAGAAGUUCUUAUUCCCUGUGAGGAGCCUGUGAGUGCAUUCUUGGCUUCCAUCUCUUCUUCCAGCCCUUCAGUAUAAGGGCCUGGAGAGUGCACCACAAACACAGCAGUGUCUGUGACUGAGAGAUGCAAGAUAAACUUGUGUGGAUACAAACGAGUCUUUAUUUCUUUACUCCCUCCUCUGUGUGCUUGCCAGGUCUACAGGAUUAUUUUUUCCUGGGAAAGGUCUACAGCUGGGAAUACUUAGCCAAGGAAACAGGAAAGGUGUGGCCGUGUGUCUUAGUAGACAACUGGUAUUAUGUGCAGCAUCAGUGGCUUGCUCUGCUGUGUUGGAAUCUGGCCAUUGGCGAUGUAAUGGAGCUGAUUUGGUUACUUGAGGGAAAUAGGUGCUUGUUCACAGGAACAGCUGCAGGCCCAGGUUUGUGGGUUGCUUUUUUGUUGUAGAAAUGCGGGGUUUUGAUUAGGUAUUUUGAUUAAGUAUUUGGGCAUUGAAAUAUGCCAGCUGAAAAACAUUUGAAUUCAGAAUGGCAGUACUUUGUGAGCUGUGUUCCCAUUUUUGGUUUUAUUUACCACCUUUCCUUGCGUGGUGAGUGGAACAGUACCUUGCAAGAGCUGCUAUAGGGGGGAAAAAAAGGUCAAGUUCUACGUAGGGAAAGACAAAUCCCAUAUCUCAGCUGAUUCUAUUGCUUAAGAGUGUAAAGAGAGAUUGGCCCCAGAAUCCAUUUUAACAGGGUAGGCUUAAAAGGUCUGUGUUGUUCUUCUAUGCAACUCGAUCUUAUCAAAAAAAAGAUAAAGCUGCACGAGCAGGCUGCUAUGGGUUAAGAAAAGGUAGGAUGUUAUCUCACAUGAGCUAAGCCAAAUAAGUGUUACCUCUCUGUAGCUAACAGGUUAAUCUUUGUUCAGAGUGAAGCAGAAUUUAACGUCCUGUCUCUGGCCUUAAAGUCCAUUUGCCCUUUGUCAAAGCUCUUUGUUGCCCCAUCGUCAACUUGUCUGUAAGUAGAGGUGUGAGCACCCCAAGGAGCUGCAUGGUCUGUGGUGUGAAGCACAAAUAUCAGCACUCUGUAGUUUUUUUUCUAUCUAUAUUUGAGACUUCCAGUGGCUCUGCUCUGAAGCACAGUUGCCCUGCAGCUAACUGAAAAACUUGGCUUCAAUGUGAGAAGUAACUGAAGCACACAUUGGCAGUGGGUGGCAGAAGGGCCCAAGGUUUCAAAAGCGAACUGCGUGGGACCGCUGAAGAAACAGUCCAUUGAAAACCCACCUCAUGUAAGUUUUAGGCAAAGGUGGUCUCCAGCCCUUUCAAGCAGAAUUUCAAGUUGCUGAGCUCAUCCUCCAGCACCACUUGGUACUACUCAGGGUAGCACUUCCAUUGCCAGGAUCCAGCUCAGUAGAACAGUCCAUCUUUGCUCUCAUCAUUUGGCCCAAGCACACCUCAGCACCCAGCAAGUUCCCUCAUUCCUAUUGAAGAGAUGGGAAUCCAGUGUUCAUCCUGAGUACCCUGCUACACCUUCUGCUUCCGUUUCCAUUUGCAAGAAGUGUUUGCUGCUUCUGUGGAAUUUAUUAAAGAUUUCUUUAAUAA
ensembl:lncRNA